rnacentral:lncRNA from 1 species
CUUCUCAUGAAUACCUUUUCCAUUGAUGCAUUAUAUAGAUGAAUACUUGAAAAAGAGUAUGGGUUAUUAUAGGUAUAUCUCAUGAUAUCUGCUAGAAUAUACUAGCAUUUUUGGUGUAGUAUAGUAACCUGUGAGUAUCAAUUUACUUACGUAUAUGACAGAAUAAUGGCAUUUUGACAUUAAAUAUUCCAUUAAUAUCAGAGUAUACAAAACGCUGGCGAGCAACAGUCCAUACCAGUAUACUUAGGUGUUCAUGCUGUGUCACGCUGCAUACCUCAUUAGAGUAACAUUCGACAGAUACCAGUAUAAAAUAAUAUAAAGAGAGAAAAAGAAUCAUACAAUGAAAUUACAUCACUUAUACCAGGCUUAUGAUUUACACGUCAGACGCUGGUUUCUUAUAUAUUCACAGACUCAACAGUAGCAAAGUAUCAAAACAGUUGGAAGGCCAACAUCAGUAA